AUUGAACGCUGGCGGAAUGCUUUACACAUGCAAGUCGAACGGUAGAGGGGGCAACCCCUCGAGAGUGGCGAACGGGUGAGUAAUAUAUCGGAACGUGCCCAGUCGUGGGGGAUAACGUAGCGAAAGUUACGCUAAUACCGCAUACGAUCUACGGAUGAAAGCGGGGGAUCGCAAGACCUCGCGCGAUUGGAGCGGCCGAUAUCAGAUUAGGUAGUUGGUGGGGUAAAGGCUCACCAAGCCAACGAUCUGUAGCUGGUCUGAGAGGACGACCAGCCACACUGGAACUGAGACACGGUCCAGACUCCUACGGGAGGCAGCAGUGGGGAAUUUUGGACAAUGGACGCAAGUCUGAUCCAGCCAUUCCGCGUGCAGGAUGAAGGCCCUCGGGUUGUAAACUGCUUUUGUACGGACGAAAAGGUCUCUCCUAAUACGAGGGGCUCAUGACGGUACCGUAAGAAUAAGCACCGGCUAACUACGUG
rnacentral:rRNA from 1 species